rnacentral:rRNA from 1 species
UACGGGGGGGGGCAAGCGUUGUUCGGAAUUACUGGGCGUAAAGGGCUCGUAGGCGGCCAACUAAGUCGGACGUGAAAUCCCCAGGCUCAACCUGGGAACUGCGUCCGAUACUGGAUGGCUUGAAUCCGGGAGAGGGAUGCAGAAUUCCAGGUGUAGCGGUGAAAUGCGUAGAUAUCUGGAGGAACACCGGUGGCGAAGGCGGCAUCCUGGACCGGCAUUGACGCUGAGGCGCGAAAGCCAGGGGAGCAAACGGG